AUUGUAAUGGCGAGAGAGGUGAGGAGGUGAGGAACGGACGAGCGAGUGCCUUCGUCAUCGUGUGCAAAAAUUACAAAUUGCAGUGUGGGGUGCUAAAAUUAUGUUAAUUUUAAUGAAGUGAACAAUAGUAUUGGUGAUGUUGGCCUUAGGCUUAUCUUUAUUUCGUAAAAAAACUGUAAAAGAACACACGUUUACUGUAGUAAUCCGUCAAAAAUCGAGAAAGCUUCAAACGUGUUUGAAGCUUUCGUUUUCGGAUUAAUGGAACUAUGAACCUGGACUCUUUAACGUUUAGCUUAUCGCAAAUCAAUUAUCUCGUAGUAAAUUUAAGUAAGAAAAACUUCAAGCAGACUAGUCAAGAGUUAUCACAGCUGGUCAGUCUUUAUGGGCUGGAAGCAGAGAAUCAGCUCUUGAGGUGUUUGUUGACGGAAGCGGCGAAGGCAUCUUGGGACACCGAGCGCACCGGAUCUGGCUCCAACACCAGCGUCCACGCAUCUCUGCUCACGCAGCACCUGACUGCGCUCCUCAACCAUCCGGCCAAGUCCACGGUCGUCUGCCGAGCUGUCGAUAACCCCACUCGUUCACUCCAAAAGAUAUUAAAACCUUCAAAUACAUUACUCAAUCGACUUUCAAGACUAUUAAAGUUUACCACCGCCGAGGAUGUUGCCUUUUCUCUGGUUUUGAAAAGGAAUUCUGCUAAACCUGAGAUAGUAGCAUUAACUAAGCAACAUUUGAAAAAGAGAUUUUUGGACCUCGUACAGUGUUACCUAGACGCAGAACGUGGGCAUCAGGCUGAGCGUGCAGGCCUUCAGGAAUGCAGCCCUGAAGUGUUGCAAACUCUCCUCACUAGUUUAUCGCAAGAGAGACUAGCCACAGUGACAAAAGACUUAUUUCUCAAACGUUUACGAGUUGAUUUCCCUCGUGAAGUAGUGCCUAUCGUGUUAGCGCCGUUGCUUUACCCGGACGACACGCAGACGCCGCUCGAAGAGAUGACGACCGCCGACGACAUGGCCGCGGCCAUGAUGGAAACCUCCUUGGCGGAGAUCAUCCGAGACAUCGGACACCCCUUCACCGCCUCGGUGGAGGAAUGCAAAGCCAACAUGCUGAACUUCGGUGCGCGGGAGCCCACCGCUAUCGACGUGGCCAGAAUCAUCUCCAUGAUGAUCAGGUACCACGCGACCGUCCCCGAAGGACCGCUCGUGCAAACGCCGGGCAACUUCUGGAUGAGUCACGAAACCAAGAAAGACCCCAUCACACACGGACACGGCGAAUCGUGGAACGCCGAAGUGUUUGUCCAGACACUCAAAGAACUCGCAUCAAACUUGAACUGGAAAGAAGUCAUACUACAGCUCGACCAUCCCGAGUUCAUGGUCCCCGACAGACAAGGCCUCAGCCUGCUGUUCACGAUUUUGCGACUCGGCCUUCAAAGUGCGGGUUAUCCGGCUAACAUAUUCCCUGUGGAUUAUCUUUGCCGUCGAUGGACGAACUUAGAAGGACAGAUGAGUUUGAUCAACAUGGUACUCAAACAUCCAGACGUAUUCAGUUUCGCUGACCAUCCCUUCCAUCCGGUCUCGAUUGAUCUUCUAAAGUCCCCACCUGAAACUGACAACAAAGAAAUAGCCACCUGGCGGUGCCUUUAUUUAGUCGAGCUUCUGGUGUACGCCGCGGAGCGUGGGUAUUACUUACAAGUGCACGAAUUAUUCAAGUUCCCAAUGCAGCAUUGUCCUGACGUCUUGCUCCUAGCUCUAUUACAAAUCAGUCCACCUGUUACAGUAUUCAGGCAAGAGUUACUGACAACGCUGAUACCAAUAUUCUUAGGAAAUCACCCAAACUCCGGUAUUAUACUACACCACGCCUGGCAUACACAGAAUCCGAACAUAAAGCCUAUCAUCAUGCACGCCAUGGCCGACUGGUACAUACGUGGUGAGAGCGACCAGUCCAAACUGUCGAGGAUACUCGACGUUGCCCAAGAUCUCAAAGCACUAUCGUUACUGCUGAAUGUUCAGUCGUUCCCCUUUGUUAUCGACUUGGCGUGCUUAGCCUCCCGUAGAGAGUACCUAAAGCUCGACAAAUGGCUAACGGACAAGAUCAGAGACCACGGCGAAACAUUUGUGACUGCAAUGGUGAAGUUCUUGCAGAGGCGAUGUCCGCAGGUGCUCGGUAAAGGGCCCGAAGAACAGCUACCGAAGGCUGCGCAGCUGCCACCCGAGACGGUCACCACGAUGCUGGCCUGCCUGCAACUCUGCGUGCCCAACGUAACGGCGGAACUACAAGAAGCCAUUUACAGCGUCAUAGCCAACUGCCAGACGCUCAUCCUGAGCAAGACAAGACAAAACAUCGCGGGUAUAGCGCGGACACGGAACGCAGAGUACCCUCGAGUGAUGCCCGGCGGCGGCAUGGAAACGCCCUUCAAUCCCGCGGCUGGUUUGAGCGGGCAGCUGUUCACUCCGCAUGUUGAUUCGAUUGCCAGUUUAACACCUGGUGUAGCUAAUUUGAGCUUGGGAGGACCAGGGAACACCGCUUUCGCGAUGCCCGGAACUCUAGGGCCAUUGGUGACGACCCCUGGCUCGCCUUCCCGAUUGAUGGGAGCCGGCCCCAACAGCCCCUUCGCUAUGAUGCCCUUACAACACAACACGAACGUUGCGAACAUGGGGGCACUCGCUCGCAUGGCGCCCGCGCCUGCGAUGGACAAACCCAGGAUUCCAGACCCUAUACACUUCCCUGAAAUGAUGCACAACGUCUCGAAGGAGAUCGAGGACGAAGCCAAUGGAUAUUUCCAGCGGAUCUACAACCAUCCCCCGCAUCCGACUCUGUCGAUAGACGAAGUGCUCGACAUGUUGAAGAAGUUCCAAGACUCGCCGAACAAGCGCGAGCGAGAAGUCUACUCGUGCAUGCUACGCAAUCUGUUCGAAGAAUACAAAUUCUUUCCGCAGUAUCCGGACAAGGAAUUGCAUAUAACCGCUCAGCUAUUUGGCGGUAUCAUUGAGAAGGGUCUCGUUCCCAGCUACGUCUCGCUAGGUUUGGCUUUACGAUUCGUACUUGACGCGUUGAGAAAGCCAGAGGGCUCUAAAAUGUACUACUUCGGUAUAGCGGCACUGGACCGCUUCAAGUCGCGGUUGAAAGACUACCACAAGUACUGCGAACAUGUCCGUGCUAUACCUCAUUUUAGUGAAUUCCCUCCACACCUAAUUGAGUACAUCGAAUAUGGACUACAGAGUCAAGAGCCACCCACGAAACCACAAGGACCCGUUCUACCCACAAGUUUGGCUGCUGUGCUGAACCAAACCAACGUAGUAACCGUCUCGGCGCCCUACAGGGCCGUGGUCUGCGCACCGUCGUCGAUCUCGGUAAUCGCAAAGGUUACCAACUGCACUGCAGGCGGACUGGGCAGCCGACCUUCGAUUGCUAACGCCACCAACAUAGACACUCUUCUAACGGCCACAGACCGAGAAGAAAAGAUCAAUGCUCCACCUGAAGCUAUCCAGGACAAAUCAGCAUUCAUUUUCAAUAACCUCAGCCAGUUGAAUCUACAGACGAAAUGUGAAGAACUCAAGGAAAUAAUUACCGAAGAAUACUUCCCAUGGCUCUCGCAGUAUCUUGUCAUGAAGAGAGCGUCCAUCGAACUCAACUUCCACGCACUGUAUUCCAAUUUCCUUGACGUUCUUAAAAUCCGCGACAUAAACAGAAUGGUCACUAAAGAGACUUACCGGAACAUAAAAGUAUUAUUACGCUCCGAUAAGGGCAUUGCCAACUUUUCUGAUCGAUCGCUGUUGAAGAACCUGGGCCACUGGCUUGGCAUGCUGACGCUGGCCCGCAACCAGCCCAUCCUGCACGUCGACAUCGACCUGAAGGCGCUGCUACUGGAGGCCUACCACAAGGGCCAGCAGGAACUGCUGUACGUCGUGCCCUUCGUCGCCAAGGUGCUCGAGUCCUGCGCCAAGAGCGUAGUCUUCAAGCCACCCAACCCCUGGACUAUGGCACUGAUGAACGUAUUGGCUGAAUUACACCAAGAGCCAGAUUUAAAGCUGAACCUGAAGUUUGAAAUUGAAGUGUUGUGUAAAAACCUAAGUUUAGACAUUGCCGACCUCAAGCCGACCCUUUAUUUGAAAGAUCCGGAGAAACUGAGAACGAUCGAGUUCCAGCUGUCGCAACCGAAGCCAAACAAGGAUGCGUCGAGCUCGAUGCAAGUGAGCCAGCCUAUAGUGCCGGCGCCGCAGAUGUUAAUCCCGCACCCGGGCCCGCCGCCGCUGCUCCCAACCGAAGACAUGGCCGCCGCGGCGCCCACGCCGACCGGGCUCGUCGGCACCGACCCGACCCUGAUGGGAGUUUUGGGGUUGCCCGAACCCAGAUUCAACUACCUCGACGUAAACGUUUCAUCGACAUCAGCUUUUGGGCAGAAGAUUUGUUUCAACCCGCACAUCAUUCUGUUCCAAAACUACCCGCAUCUGAAGCAGUUCGUGAAGCCUGCUAUUGAGCGAUCCAUCCAGGAGUGGAUUCAUCCGGUCGUGGAUAGGUCUAUCAAGUAUGCUCUUACGACUUGCGAGCAGAUCAUUCGUAAGGACUUCGCGCUUGACCCCGACGAGGUCCGGAUGCGCACGUGUGCACACCACAUGAUGAGGAAUCUGACAGCCGGUAUGGCAAUGAUUACGUGCCGGGAGCAGAUUAUUAGCACCAUCAGCACCAACCUCAAGGCCGCGUUCUUGACGGCCUUGAUGCCUGCCACCCCACAGCAGGAGAUCGUUGAAAGCGCCGCUGCAGUUCUAGCGACUGAGAACAUGGAGCUCGCGUGCGCUUUCAUCCAGAAGACUGCAGUUGAAAAGGCGCUGCCGGAGCUCGACAAACGACUGCUGAACGACUAUGAGAUGAGGAAGAUUGCCCGCCAGGAGGGACGGCGGUACUACGACCCGAUCGUCUUGGCGUACCAGACCGAAAGGAUCCCGGAGAGAGUGCGACUCCGCGUUAGCGGGCCCAGUGACCUGCAGAUAGCGGUCUACGAGGAAUUCGCGUGCAAUAUCCCGGGGUUCAUGCCUGUGAGGGACGCUGGCAUGUUCAUCCCGAAGCCCUCGGCCCAGGACCAGCUGCCCCAACUGGCCUUCAGCCAGACAAUGAACCCGACGCAAGUUUACGGCGCCGAUGAGAUGAGCGCGCUGAUUUCGGCCGCGGAGGUGUUCCUGGCCAACUCUAUGGCGAUGGCGUCGAUGGCCGCGCAGACGGCGAAUAUGCACUCGCUUCUGGAAUGCCUGUUCAUGGCGAGGCGGAACCGCGAUAUUGUGUCUGGAUGUGCUCUACUGCAAAAGGCCGUGGAAGGUCUACUAGACAGCCACAUCGUGUCGGUCGCGCAAGGCGGCAGCGCGGAACACGUGGAGAUGAUGACGCGUUAUCGCGACAUCCACUUACGAGUGCUGAAGUUGUUAGAAGACGGCCGCGUGUACGGACACGUGUGGACCACCAAACAAAUUACGUACUGCCUCACUGAGUGCCGCGAGGAGCUCAGAUACAACAUCGAAGCGGUUGACUGUUUAGUCAGGAACCACCUGAUCAACCUGCCACAGUACGACAUCGCGAUGGCCCACCUUAUGGAUAACGGGAACAACUACAUGGCAGUCGCGUUCGGGAUGCAACUGGUCCAGCUGUACCUGGUCGACGACCGGAACAACGUGUUUGCGAACGAAUCCGACCUGUACCACAUCACAGAGACGUUGUACAGGAUCAUGUCUCACUCGCGUCAGGCGCCCCCAGAGGGUCUCGGCGCCCUGAUUGAGAUGCUCAGGGUCCACCAAGACCCCAGCGCGUUUUUGGGCGAACGAUCGCCUAUGGGACCCACAGCUCACAUUCAUUCGGGAAUCCUGCAAGUACGGGCGCGCGAUUACGACGACCCGCCUGGCCUCCAAGAGAAAACGGAGAAUCUGCUUCGCGAGUGGCGUAACGUACUACUCAGCCCUCUCACUGAGAUCGAGAUUGCACAGAACUUCAACAUCUACGUGCACCGUAUGAAUAUGAACGGAAUUCUCAAAUCAGACGAUAUGAUCACGCGCUUCUUCAGGAUCGCUACACAAAUGUGCAUCGAGAAUGUGUACACGAUACUGACAGAGGAGCGCACGAAUCCGCCGACCAGCCCGGUGAAACGCGACAAGUAUUACACAAUGUGCGACUCGUUCAUGAAACUGGUGACUCUCCUCAUCAAGAACACCUCUGAGAGCGGCAAUCCUACGCCGAAGCUCAAUUUACUGAACAAGAUCCUCGGAAUCAUCGCUGGCUGCUUGUUGCAAGACCACGAAGAACAUGGCAACAACUUCCAGCAAUUGCCUUACCACAGACUUCUCCUCAUCCUGUUCCUUGAUAUGAAUAUGGCUGAACCAGUUCUCGAAUCUAUGAACUACCAGGUUCUAACAGCAUUUUGCCAUACACUGCGCAUCAUCCGACCGAGUGUCGCGCCCGGCUUCUGCUACGCCUGGCUGGAACUGACGGCCCACCGCGCCUUCAUCAACCGGGUUCUGGCCGUGACGCCGCAGCAAAAGGUCUAUCACAAUAUUUGUGGCUGGGGCAUGUACUCUACGUUGCUCAUCGACCUAUUCAAAUUCCUCGAUCCGUUCCUACGGAACACGGAACUGGCGGGUCCCGUCAUGAUGCUGUACAAGGGAACCCUAAAGGUCCUCCUUGUACUGCUGCACGACUUCCCGGAGUUCCUGUGCGACUACCACUACGGUUUCUGCGACGAGAUUCCGCCGAAUUGCAUUCAAAUGAGGAACUUGAUUCUGUCCGCGUUCCCAAGGAACAUGCGGCUGCCCGAUCCUUUCACUCCUAACCUGAAGGUGGACCUUUUGGCGGAGAUCACGCUGCCGCCGCGUGCGGUCAUCAACUACUCCACCAUCAUACCUUCGACGCAGUUCAAGAAGGAUCUGGACGCGUACCUGAAGGCUCGGGCGCCGGUCACGUUCUUGUCAGAGCUGAGAAGCAAUAUGCAGGUGUUGAACGAGCCCGGCCGCCGCUACAACAGCCAGCUAAUGAACGCUGUGGUGGUGUACGUCGGAACGCAAGCGAUCGCGCACAUCCGCGCGAAGGGUCAGACGCCCAACAUGUCGACCAUCGCGCAUUCCGCGCACAUGGACAUAUUCCAAAAUUUCACGGUCGACUUCGACUAUGAGGGAAGAUAUCUAUUCUUGAACGCGAUCGCGAACCAGCUGCGCUACCCGAACAGCCACACGCACUAUUUCUCCUGCUGCCUCCUGUACUUGUUCGCGGAGGCCAACUCGGAAGCGGUCCAGGAACAGAUUACCAGGAUGCUGCUUGAAAGGCUCAUCGUCAACCGGCCCCACCCCUGGGGACUUCUCAUCACAUUCAUCGAACUCAUCAAGAACCCAAUCUACAAGUUCUGGACUCAUGAGUUCGUACACUGCGCCCCCGAGAUCGAAAAGCUGUUCGCGUCGGUAGCGCGCUCCUGCAUCGUUGAGAAGUCCGCGUCGGGAGGGGGAGAAAGAGAUAUAUCCGAGUAGCGUCUUGCCAAUUGGGAGCUUCUUCGACAAAAGCACCAUGUAUUUUAUAGCAUUGUCGAAAAAGGCUUCCAAUACCACGCGCAAAUCUGCAUUUGCGCCAACGAGCCGGAGUCGGAGCCCGAACCCCAGCCUUCCACGUCGGGGCUGCCCAAGCCUCUGAACUGGAAGAAGCUGUUCGCAAACAAGUCGUAAAGUGGUUCCCUCUAGGCACGGUGCCGCGCGCCGACCGCGCGGACACUUUACCUCUACCUUACAGUGACAAGACUAGUGAAACUUACGACGUAAACCCCUCGCAUAUGUGACGCCUCCACGCACCAAGAUAACGACUUUCCGCUGUGACGUAACGAGGCGUCGCGUGUACGACGACCACAACUGAAUAACUUAUAGUGAUAUACGUACUCUUGCGCACCUAUAUUGAUCGUGUUUAAUCAUAUUUAUAAAUCGAUGUAGUCUGUCCGAGUAAGAUGGCCGCGUACGGCAGCGACAAUGCGAUCUGAAUUAUGUUGAAUCACUACGUGUACUUUUUAGCUCUGCAACCUUGCGAUUGAUGAUUGCUCGGUGCCGGUCGCGGGUCAGAUAAGCUGCAUUUUAAUUUGACCCCCGGCCGGUGUCGUUAGUAUUUUAACCAUAUGGUAUUACACUAAGUGAUAGACGCACAGCGGGGCCAUAAUGCAUUUGCGAUGAAUGAUCGUAAGCCUUGUAUAAUAUCCGUAUGCGUUUCGAGACGCGUUCCUUGACGCGGUCGGUCGCUUUGGUGUUGACCAGAGCGAUCGACCAAGCCGCCGGCACUCGUACCUGCUGCGCAAACGUUAUGUUUAUGAUUCCUAACUUCCUAUUAAGUUUAAUAAUGAAUACGAGGUAAUAACAACGUUAAGUUUUUGCGAGUUUGAGGUCCUCCGCUACACAGCGGAUGCCCUGAUUUGAAUGUUGCAAGGAGUCGUGUUUGUGUGCGGCAGGUAUUCCGAUUCUUAAGGCAGCAGUAACUUGUAUUAAUCUCUGCCGUUACUAGUUUAAGCAUUCUUAAUUGAAAUUCAUUAAGGUAAAAUUAUAUAAAUCUUUUCACUUGACAAUAAUAUAACAUCUCAGACAUUGGUAUGCUCAAAUUUAUUGUAAUGGAACUGUCGGAUCGGCAUUCGAGGUUUGUUCGUAAGAUUUUGAAAGACAUUGACAUGGUGCUUGUGAGUGUAAUUUAUUAAUUGUGAAUGGGCUGGGUGCCAGCAUACGGCCCCGCGCGUCUCCGUUCGACUGACUACCCGCGGCAUCUAUAGCGUAUGGGGCUAGGUUCAAGUCUACUACUGUAACUAAAUGUCUCUAGUGUUUAUAAAACUCGUUUACGUGGACUCUGGUAAAGCCACUAGUUGUUAAUGUUUAGUAAUUUGUAAUAUUAUUAGUAACUAUGUUUGGAAUAAUAAUCUAAUAUUAAGUUUUGAAAUGCAAUGCAUAUUGCUGUGUAGUUUUCUAGAUGUGAUUUUUCGAAUGUAAUUUAGGAAGGUUUAGUGUUAAUCUCUAUGCUAUAAAAGUUUGUCAUUAAGCCAUGUAAUCCCAUUUUCUAAACAAUUGUGUUGUAAUAAAAAUAUUUUUCCAUCAA